rnacentral:misc_RNA from 1 species
CAGUGUUAGUUGGCAGUGUAUUUGUUGCUGCUGUAACAAUUUAUAAUUCCAUUUUCAGAAUUCAGAAAGUAUAGAAUAGCAACAAAUACACUGCCAACUAACACUGGUCAAUACCGCUAAAAAAUUACAAUAAAAAAAAAAUGGCAAGUUCAGGUUACUGCCAUUCCAUUGGGAUUCUGCGAGCGAGAACAAACACGCCAAUGAAGAAGAUGCACAAAUCAUCAACUUGCCUAAGCUAGCAGUGCAAACACCAUCCAUCAAAAAAAAUAGCUUCUGCACAAGAACAUCCGAAAAGGCCAACCCAAUGCUUGCUACUGAAUGGUCAAAGCCAACCAUGGCAGCAAAAUGAUAAGGAGGCAGCAUAAACCCAGCACAAGACACCAAAACUGAAGUAGGAUGGUUAUCACAAUCUGCAUACACCCAUGCUUCU